CGGACGGGUGAGUAACGCGUGAGAAUCUAGCUUUAGGUCGGGGACAACCACGGGAAACUGUGGCUAAUACCGGAUAUGCCGAGAGGUGAAAGGCUUGCUGCCUGAAGAUGAGCUCGCGUCUGAUUAGCUAGUAGGUGUGGUAAGAGCGCACCUAGGCGACGAUCAGUAGCUGGUCUGAGAGGAUGAUCAGCCACACUGGGACUGAGACACGGCCCAGACUCCUACGGGAGGCAGCAGUGGGGAAUUUUCCGCAAUGGGCGAAAGCCUGACGGAGCAAUACCGCGUGAGGGAGGAAGGCUCUUGGGUUGUAAACCUCUUUUCUCAGGGAAGAAAAAAAUGACGGUACCUGAGGAAUAAGCAUCGGCUAACUCCGUGCCAGCAGCCGCGGUUAGACGGAGGAUGCAAGUGUUAUCCGGAAUCACUGGGCGUAAAGCGUCUGUAGGUGGUCCAAUAAGUCAACUGUUAAAUCUUGAGGCUCAACCUCAAAAUCGCAGUCGAAACUAUUAGACUAGAGUAUAGUAGGGGUAAAGGGAAUUUCCAGUGGAGCGGUGAAAUGCGUAGAGAUUGGAAAGAACACCGAUGGCGAAGGCACUUUACUGGGCUAUUACUAACACUCAGAGACGAAAGCUAGGGUAGCUAAUGGGAUUAGAUACCCCAGUAGUC
rnacentral:rRNA from 1 species